CCUACGGGUGGCAGCAGUCGAGAAUCAUUCACAAUGGGGGCAACCCUGAUGGUGCGACGCCGCGUGGGGGAAUGCAGGUCUUCGGAUUGUAAACCCCUGUCAUGUGGGGGCAAAUUCAAAAGAUAGUACCACAAGAGGAAGAGACGGCUAACUCUGUGCCAGCAGCCGCGGUAAUACAGAGGUCUCAAGCGUUGUUCGGAAUCACUGGGCGUAAAGCGUGCGUAGGCUGUUUCGUAAGUCGUGUGUGAAAGGCUCAGGCUCAACCCGCGGACGGCACAUGAUACUGCGAGACUAGAGUAAUGGAGGGGGAACCGGAAUGCACGGUGUAGCAGUGAAAUGCGUAGAGAUCG
rnacentral:rRNA from 1 species